UGCCCUAGUAACGGCGAGUGAAGCGGCAACAGCUCAAAUUUGAAAUCUGGCUCUUUCAGAGUCCGAGUUGUAAUUUGCAGAGGGCGCUUUGGUGUUGGCAGCGGUCCAAGUUCCUUGGAACAGGACGUCACAGAGGGUGAGAAUCCCGUACGUGGUCGCUAGCCUCCGCCGUGUAAAGCCCCUUCGACGAGUCGAGUUGUUUGGGAAUGCAGCUCUAAAUGGGAGGUAAAUUUCUUCUAAAGCUAAAUACUGGCCAGAGACCGAUAGCGCACAAGUAGAGUGAUCGAAAGAUGAAAAGCACUUUGGAAAGAGAGUCAAAUAGCACGUGAAAUUGUUGAAAGGGAAGCGCUUGCAGCCAGACUUGCCUGUAGUUGCUCAUCUGGGCUUUUGCCCGGUGCAUUCUUCUGCAGGCAGGCCAGCAUCAGUUUGGGCGGUUGGAUAAAGGUCUCUGUCAUGUACCUCUCUUCGGGGAGGCCUUAUAGGGGAGACGUCAUGCAACCAGCCUGGACUGAGGUCCGCGCAUUUGCUAGGAUGCUGGCGUAAUGGCUGUAAGCGGCCCGUCUUGAAACACGGACCAAGGAGUCUAACAUCUAUGCGAGUGUUUGGGUGUCAAGCCCGAGCGCGUAAUGAAAGUGAACGGAGGUGGGAACCCUUUUGGGGUGCACCAUCGACCGAUCCUGAUGUCUUCGGAAGGAUUUGAGUAAGAGCAUGGCUGUUGGGACCCGAAAGAUGGUGAACUAUGCUUGAAUAGGGUGAAGCCAGAGGAAACUCUGGUGGAGGCUCGCAGCGGUUCUGACGUGCAAAUCGAUCGUCAAAUUUGGGCAUAGGGGCGAAAGACUAA
rnacentral:rRNA from 1 species